AACAAUGAAAUCUCUACAGACCUUAAAGUGUUAUUUGGUGAAUAUACAGAUUUAUUAAUAUUAGAGGAUGUUGUAACGUCACUGUUGAUGUUAGAAGUUAAUGCAAAAAGAGGCGUCACCCUUUGCAGUAACAAAAUAUAAUCGGCGCGUCCAGCCGAGCGUCAGAAUGAUAUCCGACAAGAAAAUGAAACAAUUUUGAAAGAUGGUGCGACCAUUAGCGGCGAGAGUUUAAUCAAGAAAAACAUCGAUCAGUGUCCAUCUGAGUAUGAAACUGCUCAAAUUGGGUUCACAGAAAAAAUCAUAUUCUAGUUUCACGGUUGACCUGAAGCCUCGCGGCGCCUCGCCUUCUGCUCAAUGACAUCGGAACGUUCAUACAUCUGAGAGAGUGCAUUUUGUUUACAUUAACAGCGCAAUAUUUAGUUUUGCCAUUGCUACUAACUUGCAAAUUUAAAAAUAUAAAUGUAAAUCUU